rnacentral:lncRNA from 1 species
ACACAUGCUAUAUAAACUCCAGCCACACGAUGGAUCAGCAUUAGCAUUACCAGCAACACAGCUUCGGCUUCAGUAGCAAUCGUCAGUAUGAAAGCGGCAACGGUCUUCCUCCUGGUGGCGCUGUUGGUGGCAGUGUGCCUUACCCAGAUGGCAUAUGCUGGAGGUGGUGGCGACAAGGGACAUGGCGGUGGCCAUGGUGGUGGCCAUGGAGGACAUGGCGGCCAUGGCGGCGGCCACGGUGGACACGGCGACCAUGGGGGAAAAGGCCACGGGGGGAAAGGCCACUGAGGGCACCUAGCAACGGCGCGAUCGUAGCUGUGAAUCACAACCUAAUACCAGCUGCAUCAUGUGCAUACACUGAGGAGAGUACUGAUAUUGCUAUAACAAAUUAUCUGUUAUUUGUGAAAUUCGUCUUUCUCUGCUUUAGCGAAUUAAUUUUGUGUGUACACUGAGCAGAACAGCUCAUUGUAGCUGUGAUGGAGAGUGAAAUAUAAUUACAAAAAUGUA